CUGUAUACAAAUGUAAAAAAUACCAUAAAUGCUAUUUCUUCUUUAGAAGUAUAUGAGGAUAGUAAUGGCACAGGUAUUUCCCAUCUAUGCAUAUGUCCAAUCAGACACAGGUAAUUCAACACUUCUAGUAAUCAAAAUGACAGUUGCACACAGAAUCAGAGGAAAGAACUUAAUCACAAUGUGUAUUUAAAAUGCUCAAUCACAAAUUAAGGCACAAAGAAGUGGGAAACAGUAGAAAAGUGAACUUCAUAUUGAUUAUGGAGAAACCCAAGCAAUUGCUUCAGAUGGCAGAGGGAAUAAUCACAAAUCUCUUUUAAGGUCCUAGCACUUCAAGACUAAAAGAUGGAUUUAUUUAUUUAAAGAAACCAAGUCGAUGUUUUGAUUGUGGAACUAAUAAAGCUCUGAGAAUGUUCUGCAUGUAAAGAAAGUCAGGAAGAAAAUAGUAUAACAAAUGAAUAUAUUUCGACAUAAGAGAUGUCAUCAUCGCCAAUCCAUUCUAGUAUGGAAAGACUGAUGACCUAAUCUUAGCAUUUUGUAACACCAUUUCAACAAUAAAAAUGAAAUACGCAAGGUUGAAAACUUCUAUUAUUUCAAGUUUCAACUAGAUUCUUAAGGGGCUCUACUUCAAGUGAUCUGUAACAUCUACAAAGGCAUCCAGUAGGUCCACCACGACUUCCUAAGCAAUUAAUGCACCCUUCUGUAUAAGACAAUACUUAUUUCUGACAAUGCCCCCAUGGCUCACGCCAUUCACCUUAUAUAGAAUCCAUCCAAACCCACUUGAAGACUUCAAAAAAGUUCCAUGCUGCAAUAUUGGAGCUUCCUUCGGUUAGCAUCCACCACUAGCAUACACUAAAACCAAGAAAAGCCUUAACCAUUUUAUAUUGCUUAGCUGAAGCGGCGACUAAAUGCCCUAAUAACCACACGAAGUGAUAAAAAAACUGUGAUAUAUAUUCAAUUAAAAACCACAGGGUAAGAAAGCAGAAUAUUGGUUACAAGCAGGCGAGCAAUUGUAAAAAAGUUGCGAAGUAAAAUAAAAUAAAGAAAAUAAAAAGAAUGAACAUUUGGCAGCAAUUAGAUGUCAAUUAAGAUUCAUGUUUGCUUAGAUGCAACAUGCUCCAACUAAAAAGUUCAAAAGAGCAGAGCUUACUUACAUGUCAAAACAACGAAACAAAGAAAGCAUAAUAUGCAGUAAACCAGUUUGGUACCAGAUCUCUCCAAGUAAAAAACUUGUCAAAAUAAAUUACAGAAAUUGGAAAAGAAGAAGCUGGAGAGAGGAGAAAUUACGAGAGAGCUCGAAAAUUG
rnacentral:misc_RNA from 1 species